CGGGGUGAGUAACGCGUGGAAAACCUGCCGUAUACUGGGGGAUAACACUUAGAAAUAGGUGCUAAUACCGCAUAAGCGCACAGCUUCGCAUGAAGCAGUGUGAAAAACUCCGGUGGUAUACGAUGGUUCCGCGUCUGAUUAGCUAGUUGGUGAGGUAAAAGCCCACCAAGGCAACGAUCAGUAGCCGGCCUGAGAGGGUGAACGGCCACAUUGGGACUGAGACACGGCCCAGACUCCUACGGGAGGCAGCAG
rnacentral:rRNA from 1 species